rnacentral:rRNA from 1 species
UACGUAGGGGGCAAGCGUUGUCCGGAUUUAUUGGGCGUAAAGAGCGUGUAGGCGGUCAGGUAGGUCCGUUGUGAAAACUCGAGGCUCAACCUCGAGACGCCGAUGGAAACCAUCUGACUAGAGUCCGGAAGAGGAGAGUGGAAUUCCUGGUGUAGCGGUGAAAUGCGUAGAGAUCAGGAAGAACACCGGUGGCGAAAGCGCUCUGCUAGGCCGCAACUGACACUCAUGGACGAAAGCUAGGGGAGCGAAUGGG